UACAGAGGUCUCAAGCGUUGUUCGGAUUCAUUGGGCGUAAAGGGUGCGUAGGCGGCGCGGUAAGUCGGGUGUGAAAUCUCGGAGCUUAACUCCGAAACUGCAUUCGAUACUGCCGUGCUUGAGGACUGGAGAGGAGACUGGAAUUUACGGUGUAGCGGUGAAAUGCGUAGAUAUCGGGGGGAACACCUGUGGCGAAAGCGGCUCACUGGACCACAACUGACGCUGAGGCGCGAAAGCUAGGGGAGCAAACAGG
rnacentral:rRNA from 1 species